rnacentral:rRNA from 1 species
GACAGAGGGUGCAAACGUUGUUCGGAAUUACUGGGCGUAAAGCGCAUGUAGGCGGCCCCGACAGGUCGGAUGUGAAAUCCCUCGGCUCAACCGAGGACGUGCAUUCGAAACCGUCGGGCUCGAGUUCCGGAGAGGGUGAUGGAAUUCUAGGCGUAGAGGUGAAAUUCGUAGAUUUCUGGAGGAACACCGGCGGCGAAAGCGGUCACCUGGACGAGAACUGACGCUGAGAUGCGAAAGCGUGGGGAGCAAACAGG